UUGACUUAUUUUAUAAGUUACUCAGAGAUACCAAUUAAAAUCGAGAGUUAAGAUAACUUCGGCAGGCUACCUACCCCGGAGGGGAGAUAUAGAACCCUGGUGGGAACUACCUGCCGAAGCAAUAGUUAUGGUGACGUUCACAAUGGUUUGGGAGUUUUGCAACUCUGUAAUGAUCCCCCCGCUGGUUCACCAACGGAGA
rnacentral:misc_RNA from 1 species